rnacentral:lncRNA from 1 species
UUGGGGGUUGAAAGGGAAGGGCCGAGGCCACCCAGAAUCAAACCCCAAUCUUUUACUGAGAGGGUAAGAGAUGUUACCAUCCGAACUAGGGUUCGGACCUUAUCAGAGGUUUUGGCUUCCAGAAAAGAACACCAUCUUAUAUACUAUGGCCUUUCUUUUCCUUUCUGUUUCUUCUUCCAAAAAAAUAUACACUGUCAUGAAUAAUGAUGUAAUGAAAAACAACUGCCACAGAUCAUAUGAGCAAAUUCUUUUGACUAAGUAGUAGUCAUUCUAUAACGAGUAAUGACAUAACCAAGUACAUUUCCUACUAUUUCGCCAUACAUGCCUUAAAUAAACAAAGUUAGAUUCAAGUAAUCAUGAUUUAAGAUAUUUUUGUUGGAGUCAUACCUUAUUUGAGCAUAGCUCUUUUAUUGUACCAGCCUCAUCGAGUUGCAAGAGUUAGAUAAUUUAUAGUUGAAUCAUCACGUCUAAAAGAAAAUUCUUAUACUUUCUCGAAAGACAUUGCAAAGAGACCAACAUGAGAUUCUAAGCAAUCAUGUUUAAGAAUUUUCUAGAUCAGUUGUCUCUCAUUUGAGCAUUUCUCUUUUAUCAAAC